GGGGAGUUAGCUCAGUUGGUAGAGCGCAGCAAUCGCACUGCUGAGGCCAGGGGUUCGAAUCCCCUACUCUCCACCA
rnacentral:tRNA from 1 species